GUCCACGCCGUAAACGAUGAGUGCUAGGUGCUGCGGGUAUUGACCCCUGCGGUGCCGUAGCUAACGCGUUAAGCACUCCGCCUGGGGAGUACGGCCGCAAUGCUAAAACUCAAAGGAAUUGACGGGGGCCCGGCACAAGCGGUGGAGCAUGUGGUUCAAUUCGACGCAACGCGCAGAACCUUACCUGGGUUAAAUCCACUCGAAGCUGGCAGAGAUGCCGGGGUGCCCUUCGGGAACGAGUGAGAAGGUGCUGCAUGGCUGUCGU
rnacentral:rRNA from 1 species